GAUGAACGCUGGCGGCGUGCCUAAUACAUGCAAGUCGAGCGAAGCGGGGACGGGUGAGAAACACGUGGAAAACCUCCUAUAAGACGGGGUUAACUUAGGGAAACACGUGGUAAACCGGCUAAUUAUAGAUGGAUCUGCGCUGGAUUAGCUAGUUGGUAAGGUAACGGCUUACGAAGGAAACGAUGCAUAGCCGACCUGAGAGGUUGAUCGGCCACACUGGAACUGAGACACGGUCCAGACUCCUACGGGAUGCAGCAGUAGGGAAUCUUCCGCAAUGGGCGAAAGCCUGACGGAGCAACGCCGCGUGAGUGAUGAAGGUCUUCGGAUCGUAAAACUCUGUUAUUAGGGAAGCGGUACCUAAUCAGAAAGCCACGGCUAACUACGUGCCAGCAGCCGCGGUAAUUC
rnacentral:rRNA from 1 species